AGAAGGUAACUUAUAUUCAUGCAAAUUAAAUAUCUUCAACCUCCAUCCUGUUUACAUAUGACUUACUCGCUCCAAUUUAUGUAAUGAAACAUGACUGCAUGACCAGAGCGUGAUUAACAGCCAGUUUGGUCGGUUGACCCUUAAAGCUGUAGAGGAUCGUUCUCAGCCGGAUUCUCUGGCUGGGGUGGUCUUGCAGUUGUCUGACAGA
rnacentral:snRNA from 1 species